rnacentral:lncRNA from 1 species
CCAAAACUGCAAAAACUAGAGCACAUAUAAUUUAUAUUUAAGAAGGAAUGUUUGAACUAGUCGGUGCCCCAUAACCACCGGAACCACGACCGAAGCCAGGCCUUCCGCCAGGACCACCCUGCAAACAGAGUUAACACAUACAUUUCAGGAAAACUUGACAUGUCAAAGUAGGCCAUCACAAGAACUAACUUCAAAAAAUUCAUUAUCAAAAUCAGGACAAUGCUGCUCCACAGAAAUAAGAGAAAAGAGUAAUAGCAUUAUGUAAACAAGAAGAAUUUGGGUUUAACUCAUCCAAAUAAACUUGCAACCACAGUCACCAUGAUUUGGACAAAAAAGACAGUGACAACACCCCUCCCCCACCCCUCCCCCCCCCCCCCACCCCCUUCUCCUAAUAAUAUAAAGAGGGACAUAUAAAAACGUAACUAACAACGAAACAUAACAGAUACAGAAAAUUACAAAACUACAGUUGGUAAAUUGAAAACAAAUGGUGCAGCACCAAGCUUGAUUUUAUUAACACAAAUAAAAAGCCAUACACCAUCGUUCGAAUGCUAGAACAAGCACAUUUGAUCUCCCACACAAGAUAUAUAGAAAUUAUCGUAAUUUUUUAGAAGGGGAUAUACCAAUGUUAUUAGAAACACGAACAACACGGUCAAAGUCAGCUUUGUAAUCAAAACUAGACCACAAAGUAACGACGCACAUAAGCAUACAAGAAAAGAUAGUUAACAUACAAAAUAAAAGCAAACAAUAAAACAAACAAAUAGAAAGACAAUAAUAAUGUUGAUUGAUAUAUUGCAAAAAACUUACCCCAAAAGAAGGCCUGUAGUCAGCAGGAGCUCCACCCUUGUCACCGAAAUCACCGCCAGGUCCGCGUGGACCUCCACGGUAUCCAUCACGGUCACCGCCGAAUCUCCUCUCUCCGUCAAAGCGAGG